UCCUUUGUUCUCUGCUGUGCCAGAGCAGAGAAGCUAUGCCCCAAGCCUAGGGAAAGCAGCAUUUCCCUUGGAUUCUGUGUGGGACUGAGGUUAGAGGAGACAGGCAGAGGCACCUCGGAAGUGAGCCACAACAGGACGAUCCCUGGGCAAGCCACUGCCCUGCUCCGCAGAACAGCAGCAGCUUUGCCAGUGGUGCUGUGUGUGGUGCUGACCUCGCAGCCCUUGAGGGCAUCCCUGCCCAGCCCUGGCUGGUGCCUCGGCUGCUCCCGUGAGAAGGCAGCUUGGGAACAAGCAGAAGCCAGCCACGAUCCAGCAGAAUGGGCGGUUCAGUGCUGUCCUGCCUGCAGCUGCGGUUACGCUGCCCGAUAGCAUCGCUCCCUGGCCUGUCUGCUCCAGCGUCUGGAUGCGUCCCUGAUGAUGGAAGAUCCCUCAGACCAGCUGGGAGGAGGCUGAGCACACAGGGCAGCUCAGGGUCCUGCUGUGGCUGGUGGCUCUCUGCUUCCCACCAGUGCCAGAAAACCCCAUGGUGAUCAGGACUGGCAGCAGCUCAAGAAAUGAG